AUUGAACGCUGGCGGCAUGCUUUACACAUGCAAGUCGAACGGUAACAGGCCUUCGGGUGCUGACGAGUGGCGAACGGGUGAGUAAUGCAUCGGAACGUGCCCAGAGGUGGGGGAUAACGCAGCGAAAGCUGUGCUAAUACCGCAUGUGAUCUGAGGAUGAAAGCGGGGGACCAGGCAGCAAUGUUUGGCCUCGCGCCUUUGGAGCGGCCGAUGGCAGAUUAGGUAGUUGGUGGGGUAAAGGCCUACCAAGCCGACGAUCUGUAGCUGGUCUGAGAGGACGACCAGCCACACUGGGACUGAGACACGGCCCAGACUCCUACGGGAGGCAGCAGUGGGGAAUUUUGGACAAUGGGCGCAAGCCUGAUCCAGCAAUGCCGCGUGCGGGAAGAAGGCCUUCGGGUUGUAAACCGCUUUUGUACGGAACGAAAAGGCUCUGGCUAAUACCUGGGGCUGAUGACGGUACCGUAAGAAUAAGCACCGGCUAACUACGUG
rnacentral:rRNA from 1 species